CCUACGGGAGGCAGCAGUGGGGAAUUUUGGACAAUGGGCGAAAGCCUGAUCCAGCCAUUCCGCGUGAGUGAAGAAGGCCUUCGGGUUGUAAAGCUCUUUCGCAAGGGAAGAAAACUUAGAUACUAAUAUUAUCUGAGGUUGACGGUACCUUGAUAAGAAGCACCGGCUAACUACGUGCCAGCAGCCGCGGUAAUACGUAGGGUGCGAGCGUUAAUCGGAAUUACUGGGCGUAAAGCGUGCGCAGGCGGUUUUUGUAAGUCAGAUGUGAAAUCCCCGAGCUCAACUUGGGAACUGCGUUUGAAACUACAAGACUAGAAUAUGUCAGAGGGGGGUAGAAUUCCACGUGUAGCAGUGAAAUGCGUAGAGAUGUGGAGGAAUACCAAUGGCGAAGGCAGCCCCCUGGGAUAAUAUUGACGCUCAUGCACGAAAGCGUGGGGAGCAAACAGGAUUAGAUACCCUGGUAGUCCACGCCCUAAACGAUGUCUACUAGUUGUUGGUGGAGUAAAAUCCAUGAGUAACGCAGCUAACGCGUGAAGUAGACCGCCUUGGGGGAGGUACGGUCGUCGAGAAGUUAAACGUUAAAGUUAAGUUAAGUUAGUACGGCGUUGAGACGUUAGCCGACGGACGACGACGAGGGGAGGUUAGG
rnacentral:rRNA from 1 species